rnacentral:rRNA from 1 species
AUACGGAGGAUCCGAGCGUUAUCCGGAUUUAUUGGGUUUAAAGGGUGCGCAGGCGGGAGAUUAAGUCGGCGGUGAAAUUUUUUAAGUCAACUGUCAAAGUGGCUUCGAAACUGGGUUCCUUGAGUGUAGUUGAAUGAGGGGGCAUUUGUGGUGUUACGGGGAAAUGCAUAGAUAUCACGAGCAACUCCGCUUGUGCAAGCAGCUUACUGAACUGCUAAUUACGCUCACGCACGAACGCGUAUGUAUCAAACAGGAUUAGAUACACUGGUCGUCCACGCAAUAAACGAUGAAUACUAGCUGUUUGCAAUACACUGUAAGCGGCUGAGGGAAAGCGAUAAGUAAUCCCCCUUGGGAGUACGUUCUCAAGAAGGAAACUCAAACAAAUUAACGGAC